GCUUAUGCCCAUACCACCCUUAGCACACCAGCUGUCAGAAGGUAAGUCGAGUCAAGUCUGGUUAAUACUGGGAUGGAGGACUACCUGGGAAUACCAAGUGCUGUACUGU
ensembl:rRNA 5S_rRNA 5S ribosomal RNA